rnacentral:rRNA from 1 species
UACGAAGGGGGCUAGCGUUGUUCGGACUUACUGGGCGUAAAGCGCACGUAGGCGGAUUGUUAAGUCGGGGGUGAAAUCCUGGAGCUCAACUCCAGAAUUGCCUUCGAUACUGGCUUUCUAGAGGCUGGAAGAGGUUAGUGGAAUUCCCAGUGUAGAGGUGAAAUUCGUAGAUAUUGGGAAGAACACCAGUGGCGAAGGCGGCUAACUGGUCCAGAUCUGACGCUGAGGUGCGAAAGCGUGGGGAGCAAACAGG